rnacentral:rRNA from 1 species
CAGUCGCCGCGGUAAUACGCAGGUGGCAAGCGUUGUCCGGAAUUAUUGGGCGUAAAGGGCUCGCAGGCGGUUUCUUAAGUCUGAUGUGAAAGCCCCCGGCUCAACCGGGGAGGGUCAUUGGAAACUGGGAAACCUGAGUGCAGAAGAGGAGAGUGGAAUUCCACGUGUAGCGGUGAAAUGCGUAGAGAUGUGGAGGAACACCAGUGGCGAAGGCGACUCUCUGGUCUGUAACUGACGCUGAGGAGCGAAAGCGUGGGGAGCGAACAGGAUUAGAUACCCCCGUAGUCCCUGUCUCUUAUAC